GACGUAGGGCGCGAGCGUUGUCCGGAUUUAUUGGGCGUAAAGAGCUCGUAGGCGGUGUGUCGCGUCGGCCGUGAAAACUUGGGGCUUAACUCUGAGCGUGCGGUCGAUACGGGCAUCACUUGAGUUCGGCAGGGGAGACUGGAAUUCCUGGUGUAGCGGUGAAAUGCGCAGAUAUCAGGAGGAACACCGGUGGCGAAGGCGGGUCUCUGGGCCGAUACUGACGCUGAGGAGCGAAAGCGUGGGGAGCGAACAGG
rnacentral:rRNA from 1 species